rnacentral:rRNA from 1 species
AGAGUUUGAUCCUGGCUCAGGACGAACGCUGGCGGCGUGCUUAACACAUGCAAGUCGCACGGAGUUAGAACUUCGGUUUUAACUUAGUGGCGAACGGGUGAGUAACGCGUGAGAAACCUACCUUUCAGUGGGGGACAACAGUUGGAAACGACUGCUAAUACCGCAUAAUGUAGCGACGGGGCAUCCCGAUGCUACCAAAGAUUUAUUGCUGAAAGAUGGUCUCGCGUCUGAUUAGCUAGUUGGUGAGGUAACGGCUCACCAAGGCGACGAUCAGUAGCCGGUCUGAGAGGAUGAACGGCCACAUUGGGACUGAGAUACGGCCCAGACUCCUACGGGAGGCAGCAGUGGGGAAUAUUGGGCAAUGGGCGAAAGCCUGACCCAGCAACGCCGCGUGAAGGAAGAAGGCCUUCGGGUUGUAAACUUCUUUUACCAGGGACGAAGAACGUGACGGUACCUGGAGAAAAAGUAACGGUUAACUACGUGCCAGCAGCCGCGGU